rnacentral:misc_RNA from 1 species
AAGCAAGACACCCUAGAGUUAUUUACAAUGUUGAAGAGUUAAAAACUAGAAGAGAGAAAAAUCAGUGCUUCAAUGGUUGAUACUUUACAAUAGCAAAACAUGAUUUGAUCAUAUUUUUACAGGAUCCCUUUCAUUCUAUAAUAGUGAAUAUGGGGUGGUGAAAAAACAAUAAAUCCACAAAAUGAGAAUAAAAGAGAUAGGGAUGGCCACGGUCCGAUUUCAACUGGAACCGAACCAGAACUAGUUCGGUCAAAACCGGACCGAAA